rnacentral:tRNA from 1 species
GGUUGUGGCUCAGCGAUAGAGCGUUCACCUAGCACGUGCAAGGCCCUGGGUUCAAUCCUCAGCACCA